rnacentral:lncRNA from 1 species
AUGGCCCCAAGGGUAUCUUUUGGGGGCAGGGGAGGGAGACGGAUGCGACUGGCAGCUGGACCCACGGGAGCGAGAGCCACGAAAUGGGAGGGGCUGCUGCUCAGGGAGCUGCCACCUGCUCUCGGCAGGAAAGCAUCUCGUGUCCACAGAGAAACCAGAAGAGGGAACAGCCGCAGGGGAGCGGCCAGCGGCGCAUUCCUGGUCCCCGUGAGCCGGCUGGUCGGCAGGCGCCGGACCUCUGCCAAGGAGGGCGACAGGAGCGGAACCUGGGGAUGGAGGGCGGCAUGCCCAGGGCCAGGGCGAGCGAGGCCUUCUGGGGAGUCCCCUGGCCACAUCCUCAAGGGUCGCCUUCGGGUCUCCCCCAAGGUGUGGCCAAGGCCCCUCGGGGGCAAGACCCACGUCCUGAGUGCUGGGGUCCAUUCGGAGGGAGUUUCCAGCAUCGGCUCCAAACGAGUGGAAGUCCGGCCCCAUCCUCCAACUUCCUGUCGGCAAGUCCGGGCCUCGGCUAGCCCAUUCAGCCAGAAGGCGCCUGGCGGAGGGCUCCAGCGUUCGCUCUUGCCUUCCCCUCCUCCAGCCUCUUCUCCCUCUGGCCUCCACCCAGCUCCACGGUGA